rnacentral:lncRNA from 1 species
AAUAACUAUUUGAGAAACCAAGGGCACAUCAAACUGUAUUCCUUCUUCCUCUGGAAAGAUGGAAUGGAAUUUAGUCAGUAUUGCUAUGGUUUAGUCAAAUAGCAGAAUUUCUCAGAGAAACAGAAGAGGGAACAGAAUUGCUUCAAUGAGAGGAACAGUUGUUCUACAGCAGUCACAGAGUUGUAAUAAGGGGACUCUGUAGAGGAAAGUGGCCUAGAUCUAAGAUGUUAAUAUAAUUUCCCAAUCAAACUAAGACACUUUAGGAUAAAUCAGAAGUACUAUUAGUAUAAACUUGUUCAAUAGGGAUAUACUAUUCCAAGGAAACCAGGAUAUAUAGCCACUCUCUUUAGAUUCUACAGGUGGAGAACUAGUGGGAACAAGAUUAUUUGGUGGGGAUAGAUGACUACAUCUGCAAGUAAAGUUCAAUGACACAUCUUCUGGCACCAUAUAUAACUGAGAGAUUAAUCUAGGCUUUUGCUACUCAAAGUCUGGUCCUCCCUAACAGCAUCAUCAGCAGCUGUUUCUUAAAAAUAUACUAUCUCAGGUCUUAUCACUUAUCAAAUCAUCCAUUAUUGAAUCAGAAUUAUCCCUUGUUGAAUCUGCUUAUAGAAAUCCCAGAUGCCUCGCUCAGUGGGUUAAGGAUCUGGUGUUGCGGCAAACUAUGGUGUAGGUCACAGAUGAGGCUCAGAUCCGGUGUUGCUGUGGCUGUGGCUUACACCUCAGCUGUAGCUCUGAUUUGACCCUGAGCCUGGUAACUUCCAUAUGCUGCAGGUGUGGCAAUAAAACAUAAAAAAAUAAAUAAAAUAAGAUGUCUGGUAAGCGCUUGUCAAGACCCAGCUUCAUCAUAUAUCAAAGCCUAAAUGUGACCCUCUCACUCUUAUAUUCAGGCAGAGGAAGAAAACAGGGAAGGGAGUCUCAACUGACAAAAAUUUCUUCCAAAUUGAGGAGUUUAUGUGAACAGGUAAGAUUAAUCCAGCUUAAAUGAAGUGUCAAGAGAGUGAUUAAGUUCAGUCAAAAACUUGGUUUUAUUAUCUCAAUAAUUUAUCUAAUAUUAAUUAUGUUUAGUAUAAAAACUGAGAAUGAAGUAGGACAGUUUUCCCAUUUUUUCUGUGAUGGAGUUAGUUACCUUUGUUUCUAGCUUUUUGCUUGGUAUAUAUAGCUAGAUCAAAUGUAGGCCAGGAACAGGUGCUACCACAGACAAUUUCAGAGAUGAUGGUAAAUUCUAUAUUUGCUGCCUUUGCUGCUGAUCCUUGCUCUUUGGAAAAAUAACUGGACUAGUAAAGGUGUGUUGGAGUGGGUAUCUUCUACUCGAUUCCCAAGGAAGCUGUUUCUAAUCAUGAACAGCUUGGUUGAUCCAUUGACUUUUCCUUUAAUCUAGUGGUAGCUAUACUAUAUCUAAGAAAAAUUCCUUAAAAUUUUGUUGCAUGGAUGCCUCUGCUUCUUUUGCCAAUGCAAUGCCACUUCCCUCUCCAGUUGUAUUUGCAUUUUUGUAUUCAGUUUAGGCUGGAAACGAAAGGCAAAAUGUGCUAAUCGUUUCUCCUUAUAACCCAGAUAUCCUCAUAAAUUCUGCUUGAGAAGAUAUUCCAAAUCAAAUUGAAAUAUUAAUGUGUUUCCAAGUCUACUUUAUCAACACAAAGGAAAUGUGCUAGACAGGGGCAUACAGAGGACAGAUGUGGAUUGUAUAAGGGGAAAGGGGAAAGAUAUAUAAUGGGUAUGGCAAAGAUACUUUGUCGGAGCCAUAUUUUUGUUGAGUUAUCUCUUAUCUGGCCAGCUCAGACUCUGAAGAGGUUUUGUGGUGAUUUUCUCCCAGCAUUUAUUUAUAGAGACCUCGGUGAACUGCCGUACUGAAUCCUCCCAAAACUACUUGAAUACAGCUGGUCAUAUAAAGUCAGUUUGAGGAAAAAAAAAUCACAGACUUCCUCUAAGUACUAAAAAAUAUAUUUCCUAUUAGAGAUAUUUUAUAGUAAUAUUGUGAUACAUUUUAUCACAUCAGGAGGUAAGGUGUCUUUCAAACAUAAAAGACCUCCAUAAAAUGAACCACAUGCUAUGUAAUGUAUUUUGAUGCUACAUUAGCAAGGCCUGUCUGAUGCUGUCAAGAAGUCUAAUAUUACAGAAACAUAAUGCUUGCAGGAAUUAUGAGCUUGGGUAUUAAGUGUUAAGAACACUUCAGUUUAAUGAGUAAAAGAAUUAUCUUGUCAUGAAGAGAAUACAUUCAAGCCAAUAAGCACCAUACGCGGUAAGUCUGAGUGAAAAUAAUUAUUUCCUUUGAGAAAAAUCAAAAUAGAUCCUUUUAAAUUGUAACUUGUAUUAAAUUUUUUUUUUCCCAAAUCACACAUGGAUUUUUAUACAUCCUCCCAAAGUGGUCCACAAUUUAGUUUUUAUACAGUUAUAAUACAGGUCAUUACAUUAACUAUCAUUUCUGCCAACACAUCCAUUCAGCAAACCAAUGAACUUUCUCAUGUCUAUUCUAGAUAAAAUAUAUGCUCUUCUGGAACUUUUAAAAAUAUGUGUUCUUUUGGAACUUUUGAAACAAAUUAAUUGGAGGUGAAAUCCCUUCAUAGAAGACAAUUGAAAGAAAUGGAAACAGUUUUGAUUAGUCACAAGAGUUUACCAAGACAUGGAAACAACCUAAAUGUCUAUCGACAGAGGAGUGGAUAAAGAAGAUGUGGUACAUAUACACAGUGGAAUGUUACUCAGCCAUUGAAAGGAAAGAAAUAAUGGCAUUUGCAGCAACAUGGAUGGACUUAGAAAUUAUCAUGCUAAGUGAAGUUAGUCAGACAGUGAGAUACCAACAUCAAAUGCUAUCACCUACAUGUGGAAUCUAAAAAAAGGACACAGUGACCUUCCUUGCAGAACAGAUACUGACUCACAGACUUUGAAAAACUUAUGAUUUCUAAAGGAGACAGGUUGGUGGUGGGAGGAUGGGCUGGGGGUUUGGGAUGGAAAUGCUAUAAAAUUGGGUUGUGAUGAUUGUUGUACAACUAUAAAUGUAAUAAAAUUCAUUAAGCAAUAAAAAAAUCUGAGUUUAAAUGUAACUGCUGAAGGAGAUAGGCCUAGUUAUAAACUGGCAGUACUUUAUAACCUGAUGGUUAGAUUUAGGAAGUACCACUUUGUAUGAGCCAGUUCUGCCAAGUGUGCACCAAAGCAUAAAGAGACCACAGGAAUUGUGCCAGGGGAUAAUAGAAAAAGUACACUUGCCUAUCCUGUCUUCAUAUUAGUAGGCAAUAUAAAAUAUUUUGUUAUAUUAAAAGUGGAUUCUUGCUAUUUGUGUAUGUCUUAUUCACUUUUGAAUCCUCAAAAGGCAGCAGAUAUUUCAGAAGGGCAUUGAUCCACAUAUAAGAGAAGGUCUUCAUGUAGCCUCCUGGUUUUCCAACUAUUCACUAUCCAACUAUUCAAUGCAAUGGGACCUAUAGAGCAUUUCUUUCCAAUAGAAGAAUUCAGUUAAGGGACACAAGGAGAGUUGUAAAAUGAAAGCAGUGUAUUUGGUUAAGCCUGUGGCAGGCAUAAGAGAAAGACAAAAACAUGAAGCACAGACAAAUUGCCUGUAUGAGACAUAAGAAUUAGAAAAUUAGGAAUGAAUCACACAUGAGAAGCUCUCAGAUUAUUUUACAUAUGCAUGAAUCAAUAGAAUAAAUAAAAAGGGCCUGAAUUGGGUAAAAGUAAUCAGAUAAAGCAGAAGUUUCAGUUGUUGAAAGGAAUGAGGAUGGUACUUAAAAAUAUCCUAAAGUUCAAUUACCCUUUUUUUUUAUAGAAAUGGUUAAAGACAAAACUUAUUUUGAACAUAUUUUUUAAAUGUUAUUAAAGUGUUGUUUUUUGUUUUUUGUUUUUGUUUUGUUUUGUUUUUUUUAUGCCUACCUAAGAGAUAAGUUAAUGCUUUGUUCUGCUUCUAAAUGGCUUUGUAUCCUCAGGCAAGCUACCUACUCACUUGUGCCUCCUCAAUUUCCUUAUCUGUAGAGCAAAGAUAAUUAUGCUAUCUAGCUCAGAGAGUUGUUGGGAGCAAAUUAUUUAAUCUAAAAUAUUUAGAUCAAUGCCGAGCAAGUAGAAACAAUAAAAAUAGUAAUUGGCAAUAUUAACGGUUAUAGUCAUUGAAUGUGAUUUGUUUUAACUGUAAUUACUUUAAUAUUAAAAGCUAAUAUACAGAUAGUGCUAAAUGAUAUUAUAUUAAAGAAAUGAAGAAGAAAGAAAAGACUGGUAUGUUUAUAGGAGUACUUAUUUUGAUUUCUUUUUGAAAGCCUUAUUAAAAAGGUAACAUUUGAACACAGAUCUGAAAGGAAUAAUAGAUCAAGCCUGCACAUAUUUAGAGGAAUAAUAUUCAAAGAAGAAUAAAUAUUAGGUAGCAACAGUGAGGGCAGAAUGUGCUUGGUAAAGUUGAGAACAAAGUAAACCAGAAGAAUGGCGAUAGAAGGUGAGUUCUAGAAGGUGAGAUAGACCAUGUUCAGCCUUUUAGUUCAGGAUAGGGAGGUGGAAUUUUAUUCUUAGUGUGAAAGAAAGCCUUUGGGGAUUCAGGGCAUGCUAGUAACAUGGUAUUUUAAGAAGAUGUAUGAACUGUUAUGUAGAAUACACACUGUGAUGUGAAAUGAUAGGCAAAGGAAUAAUUGUCAGGUAGCUAUUGAGUAAUCCAGACAAAAAAUAAUCUAUUAGAGUGGGAGAGCGAAAAUAAUGAGAAGUGGGUCCUAUG